rnacentral:rRNA from 1 species
AGUAGCUACGUUCGGAAAGGAUAAGCAUUGAAAGCAUCUAAAUGCCAAGCCUCCCUUAAGAUAAGGUAUCCCUAUGAGACUCCAUAUAGACUAUGUGGUUGAUAGGUUGGGUGUGUACGCACAGUAAUGUGUUUAGCUAACCAAUACUAAUAAGUCCAUUGACUUGGUUU